UACGUAGGGUGCAGGCGUUAAUCGGAAUUACUGGGCGUAAAGCGUGCGCAGGCGGUUGUGCAAGACAGAUGUGAAAUCCCCCGGGCUUAACCUGGGAACUGCAUUUGUGACUGCACGGCUAGAGUGUGUCAGAGGGGGGUAGAAUUCCACGUGUAGCAGUGAAAUGCGUAGAUAUGUGGAGGAAUACCGAUGGCGAAGGCAGCCCCCUGGGAUAACACUGACGCUC
rnacentral:rRNA from 1 species